GCUGGGCGUGGUGGCGGGCGCCUGUAAUCCCAGCUACUGGGAGGCUGAGGCAGGAGAAUGGCGUGAACCCAGGAGGCGGAGCUUGCAGUGAGCCGAGAUCGCGCCACUGCACUCCAGCCUGGGUGACAGAGUGAGACCCUGCCUCAA
rnacentral:SRP_RNA from 1 species